rnacentral:rRNA from 1 species
GCAGCCGCGGUAAUACGGAAGGUCCAGGCGUUAUCCGGAUUUAUUGGGUUUAAAGGGAGCGUAGGCGGCCUGUUAAGCGUGUUGUGAAAUGUAGUGGCUCAACCUCUGCACUGCAGCGCGAACUGGCGGGCUUGAGUUGGCUGAAAGUAUGCGGAAUUCGUGGUGUAGCGGUGAAAUGCUUAGAUAUCACGAAGAACUCCGAUUGCGAAGGCAGCAUGCUGUAGCCUUACUGACGCUGAAGCUCGAAGGUGCGGGUAUCGAACAGGAUUAGAUACCCC